rnacentral:lncRNA from 1 species
UCCAACGCCACCCACAUCCCGUCCUUCUUCAUCUCGUUCAUCGCCCUCCCGCUGGCCACCAACUCCAGCGAGGCCGUCUCCGCCAUCAUCUUCGCCAGCAGGAAGAAGCAGCGGACCUGCUCCCUCACCUUCUCCGAGGUGCGUAUCGUUGCGUGCACCACUGACAGACACGGCGACUGCAUCCGAAGCUCCUUGCAUUGGCAACAAACACUGACGAGGGUGCUUUCAGGUGUACGGCGGCGUGACGAUGAACAACACGCUGUGCCUGGGCGUGUUCCUGGCGCUCAUCUACUUCCGGAACCUGACAUGGGACUUCUCGUCGGAGGUGCUCAUCAUCCUGGUCGUCUGCGUCGUCAUGGCCCUCUUCACCAGCUUCCGGACCACCUUCCCUCUCUGGACCUGCCUCGUCGCCUACGUGCUCUACCCUCUCUCGCUCGUCAUCGUCUACAUCCUCGACUACGUCUUCGGCUGGUCAUAGGCUCAUUGGCUCCCCAAGCGAACGCCUGUUUUUGG